AUUGAACGCUGGCGGAAUGCUUUACACAUGCAAGUCGAGCGGCAGCACGGGGGCAACCCUGGUGGCGAGCGGCGAACGGGUGAGUAACACAUCGGAACGUACCCUGUCGUGGGGGAUAACGAGUCGAAAGAUUCGCUAAUACCGCAUACGACCCGAGGGUGAAAGCGGGGGAUCGCAAGACCUCGCGCGACUGGAGCGGCCGAUGGCGGAUUAGCUAGUUGGUGGGGUAAAGGCCCACCAAGGCGACGAUCCGUAGCGGGUCUGAGAGGGACGGCCCGCCACACUGGGACUGAGACACGGCCCAGACUCCUACGGGAGGCAGCAGUGAGGAAUAUUGCACAAUGGGGGAAACCCUGAUGCAGCGACGCCGCGUGCGGGAAGAAGGCUUUCGGGUCGUAAACCGCUUUUCUGGGGACGAGCAAGGACGGUACCCCAGGAAUAAGUCCCGGCUAACUACGUG
rnacentral:rRNA from 1 species